rnacentral:lncRNA from 1 species
UCAAGCUUCAUGUAAAGUAAUUAUAAAGAAAAUACUAUGUCAAUCCUCUCAAAGUUGUUAAUGUAAUUUUAAAAAAAAUCAUUUUCCUUAAGGACCCGAGAAGAAGAAAAAUAAUCUUGAGAUCUAAGUGUUGGAAUUGAUACAGAGGAAGAUUUCGAAACUGGGAUGAAAUUGCAUCUUUUUCAAUAUUUUUUGGAUUAAGUUAGGAUCUUUACGACUAAAUUUGUUAGUAUCAUCAAAUUCAUGUCUAUAAUCAGAGGAGAUAAAAUGAAGUUCACAAAGGGAAUAAUAUUUUGAAGGAUUCUAAUUUUCGUGAGGGCUUACAUAUGCCUCCAAAAGUGUGUCCCUGCGAAUCGUGAAAGAACUUUCCCAAGCUCAAUUUUAUCAAGAUUAACUAAAAAAACAAGUAAAUGCAAGGUGACCAUAUAUAAAGUUGGUGCAACAAGGAUCAAUGACGAGAGAGCAUGAUGAAGAUACAAUUGAAUCAUAUGAAACUUUAAAAGAUUCUGAACUUCUUGAAGCCGAAAAAGUAGUUAAAACAGAUACAGAAGAAUCAUCUCAAGUUUCCAAUGAUUGAUCAGAUCAGGGUCUGGCUUAUAUUGCAGGAUUUUUGGCGGACAAAUUUAAAGACCUUUAUACAAAUCUAGGGAAAAAGACAUGUGCCUUUAGAUUUUAAGAAGAAACGUCUUGCCCUUGGAUUGAAUUGUUCUCUAAGGGAGGCCUUUCGAUUCCCUCGUGUGAGUUUUUAAAAUUUUGUCAUUGUCUAGAAAACCAUUUCAAUGCCUUUCAUUAUAAUCAUGAAGACGCAAUGGACAAAAAAAAACCAAACGUAUUUGAAAGGCUGCAUAAUCAUCUAAUUGAAUUAUAUCCUAACUGGCCUACAUAAGUCAUUAUAUCCUUUGUAAAAACAAGAAUGAGAGUAAAUAACCUUAAUAAAAAGCUCCAACUGAAGAACGCAAGUACUAAACUGAGAAAACUUAAAUAGAUUGGUCAAUUAACAAAUAAAUAUUUAUUAUUCAUGCAUGUAUUUUUUAAAAAUGUAUGCUAUAAGUUUUACUUAUU